AUUGAACGCUGGCGGCAGGCCUAACACAUGCAAGUCGAACGGUAACAGGAAACAGCUUGCUGUUUCGCUGACGAGUGGCGGACGGGUGAGUAAUGUCUGGGAAACUGCCUGAUGGAGGGGGAUAACUACUGGAAACGGUAGCUAAUACCGCAUAACGUCGCAAGACCAAAGAGGGGGACCUUCGGGCCUCUUGCCAUCGGAUGUGCCCAGAUGGGAUUAGCUAGUAGGUGGGGUAACGGCUCACCUAGGCGACGAUCCCUAGCUGGUCUCAGAGGAUGACCAGCCACACUGGAACUGAGCCACGGUCCAGACUCCUACGGGAGGCAGCAGUGGGGACUAUUGCACAAUGGGCGCAAGCCUGAUGCAGCCAUGCCGCGUGUAUGAAGAAGGCCUUCGGGUUGUAAAGUACCUUCAGCGGGGAGGAAGGGAGUAAAGUUAAUACCUUUACUCAUUGACGUUACCCGCAGAAGAAGCACCGGCUAACUCCGUG
rnacentral:rRNA from 1 species